GUUUUGUGAUGAUCACCAUGCGUGUCAACUGAUCCCAGAAGCUGUCCUCGACUCCCGGCUGCCGGCCUGCGUUUUGCUGGCCGGCGAGCCUGGGGGCGAGAGGCUCUGGGGCUGUGAUAAGGAUGUCAAGGCUGAAAAC
ensembl:snoRNA small nucleolar RNA SNORD10